UACAGAGGGUGCAAGCGUUGUUCGGAAUUAUUGGGCGUAAAGGGCGCGUAGGCGGUGCGGUAAGUCUGUAGUGAAAUCUCUGGGCUCAACUCAGAGUCUGCUAUAGAAACUGCCGUGCUAGAGUGUGGGAGAGGUGAGUGGAAUUCCCGGUGUAGCGGUGAAAUGCGUAGAGACCCGGAGGAACACCAGUGGCGAAGGCGGCUAUCUGGACCGUAACUGACGCUGAGGCGCGAAAGCGUGGGGAGCAAACAGG
rnacentral:rRNA from 1 species